rnacentral:lncRNA from 1 species
CACAUGGAUAUGGAGUGAACGAGAGUUUGUAGGCAGAGAGCGCCGCGGGCUCCCUCCUUAGUCAUCACCACCCUUCAAGGCACUCAUUCUUCUUCUCUCCACUGCCAUGUGAAGAAGGACAUGUUUGCUUCUCCUUCCUCCAUGAUUGUGAGUUUGCUGAGGCCUCCCCAGCCAUACUGAACUGUGAAUCAAUUAAACCCCUUUCCUUUGUAAAUUACCCAGUCUCAGGUAUGUCUUUAUUAGCAGUGUGAGAAUGGACUAAUACACCAACAAACAUUUGUUGAAGAAAUAUCUACCUACUGUGCACAUACUGCCUCAUGUGCUGGAAUCAUCUAAGACCAAAGGAUUAUCAUAAAAGAUGGAU